GUUCACCUUCAUCUCCUAAAAAAAAAAGAAACAAGAACACUCACACACACAUGAACUCCUCCAUCUUCUUCACAAAGGUUUAUAAUCCAAACCAUACCCAUAAUAUGUGGGACAUACGAAGCCUAUAAAUACCGACACUCUCAGCCUACUCGACACCCUCACACCAUCACAACAUCUUUUCGCUCAAACCGCAUACUCGUCGGAGAAGCCGGGUCGUCACCGGAAGAACUUGAAGCUCGCCGGAGCCGUACGGAAUCCGACGGAACUCUUUUCUUUUGUUCGGACAUCACCUUCUCCUUUUGGUUCGCGCUGGUUCACGUCGGAGACAACCUAAGUUCGCAACGGGAACCAUUUCAUCGAUUCGGAUAACCGCUCUCGUUCGUUCUCUUCAAUUCCCAAUCUUUACUCGUGCGAUAAUUCAAGGAAUUCUCAUAUGCAAUCAAUGUUGAUGAUUGAUGACACUAUGAAAAUGGAUAGCGAAGAUGCCUAG
rnacentral:lncRNA from 1 species